rnacentral:lncRNA from 1 species
CCUCAGUUUUGCUUUUUGAAUUACUUUAUUACUUAAACAAGUUUCUUUUAUCAUCUUAAAAGUAUUUUUAUAAUACAUUUUUUCAAUUUCUCUUAAAUGUGAAAUGUUUUAGGUCUAACGUUUAUGAGAAAUUAUUCUUUAUUUUGAUGGAAGAAAUUUGCGGUUUGAUUUCGCUCCAAUAGUUAGUUUUAGUAUGAUUGGGGCCAAUGCUCCGGAAUGUUAUCUGAUAAUAUUGACAAAACUAAAUUUAUCGCGCAGUUAUUUUAUAUAAAUGUUCACCUGGAUUAAAAGCGCUAAAAUUGCAUCCAUAAAAAAACGAAUAAUUAUACACACGAAAAUAUUCCGACAUGUCACGAAAUUAAAAGUGCGGGUAAACGAACAGAAAUCCGGUUACGGGCUGUUUAUCCCCCCAAAAAAAAGACUGAGGAUACUAUACAUAAACACUACAUAUAAUAUAGAAACGACCAAAAUUUAUAACUUAUAGCCGUACAUUAAGCUACAGAGUGCGUUUUUUUAUGCAACAGUUGUACAGCCCGACCGACGUCAUACAGAACUAAAGCUGUACGUCGCUAAUUUAGAAACGAUCUGCUAAACGCAACAUGGAAGACUCCAUCUGUGCCAUAACUAGUAUAGCAACAGGAAGAUACAUUUUGAUCGAUGGAGUUCGACAGAAACGAAUAAAUACGACCUAUUUAGGAUUAUUUUUUCGUUAAAAAAACAGGAAAGAAAAUAAAAAAUUACAUCGAAUGUGUAGUACAGUCGUAUUCGGGAUUAAAUCUGAAGAGAGAUUUAAAAAGUCAGAUAUUGACUUUUCUAGAAGCGCGGCUGAAGUAAAUACUAAAUUUAUUGUUUAUUAUAUUGUAAGUCUAAACUUGGCUAUCUUCCGUCAUUUUUGCUUUACUGGUGAAGCGAAGUGAAAACGAGUUUCACAUCCAUUGUAGUCAUAUCUCGCAGCUAAGGGUUUAGAAACGAUUGGUUUAUCUGCUGCAUGAAGAAAUGCACCCGUACUGCCUAAUUUCAUAAUCUAUCAAAUCAAAAGUUACCAUUGUACAGGGAUAGAGAAAACUACUUACAGAAAUUUCAUUUAGUUUUCUAAUAAUGUGACUGAUGACAACGGUAACAUUUAUUACAUUUCUGUAUAGAAAAGAAUAAAAACUGAGCCGAUGAUGAUUGCUGGUGUCCACAGUAUGUCUUCUAAAGAGAAACUCGCUAAUUGCCAGUCUGAUACAAGAUAUUCUGGAUAGCCAACAUUUUCCUCAUCUCUCUCUUCAUGAAUCAAUUGUAGUCAUUCCAUAAUUUAAUUUCCAAAAGACUUAUUCUAUAAGUAUAGCUUAAAAGCAAAGUACCGACCAAAUUUAGUAACUUGGCGAGAUUUAAAAGAUGCUCAAUAAAUCGAAAUUGUGUGUAUUAAUGCAUAAAUUAUAGAGGAAAUUAGAUAGAUAAUGCGUUGAUAAAUUUAUGCCGAUAGCAAGCCCUUCUAAUUAUUCUGCUGUGAGAAAUUAGAUUCCGCUUUGUUCAGUCAAUACGAAUUAGUGACGCAUUACACUCGUAGCCUGUCGAACGAGUCUUUAAUAAUAGUUCGUUAAGUAUCUUUUUAAUAACAAUGUUGCUGAAUUAGUUUUGCUAAGUUUGUAAUGCUACUUUAAUCAGAAAUGUUAGAGGCCUAUUGCCUUAGGCUAAAACCGAGAACGGAAGUUAUUUACGUAAUAUGUUGAUAAAACCAGAGGGCGUUCUUCUUUCGCUUUUUGGCCACCAUAUUGAUUUUUCGAAAUUUUUCGUAUCAGAACGACCAACGACGGAUUUUUUGACCCAAAACGUAUUGUAGUAAAUACGUUUGUGAUUUGAAGUGCCUUCUUGUGAGUGUUUGCCAUUCAUUUAUUAUACCCCGAUAGAAUUAAUGCUCAUAUUUGUAAACAAAAUUGCAAACCGGGAAUUCGUUAAGUGGUAACUCAUAAACCGAGAACUUCCUGUAUAUGAACCUUAUUGUAUGUUACAACUUGCCACGAAGGAUAACCACCCUGUUACACCAAAUACGGUAUUACAAAAGACCUGUAUAAUCGUUAAAUAAUUGCUCAUCGGCAACCAUUGCAGAUAAUAUGUUGGAUAUUCGUUUAAUACGAGUAGUUCCAGAAAAAAAAACUAAAAUUGCCUACUUUCCGAAUAUAAUUUUUCUUUUAUUUAGCAUUUGGAAUCUAUUGGCUUUUUAUGUGCAAUUUUAACGCAUAGAUGUCACGAUGACGUCGUCAUCG